GCGGGUGUGGUGAAAUUGGUAGACGCGCCGGACUCAAAAUCCGGUUCCGCAAGGAGUGUCGGUUCGAGUCCGACCACCCGCACCA
rnacentral:tRNA from 3 species